UACGAAGGGGGCUAGCGUUGCUCGGAAUCACUGGGCGUAAAGGGUGCGUAGGCGGGUUUCUAAGUCAGAGGUGAAAGCCUGGAGCUCAACUCCAGAACUGCCUUUGAUACUGGAGGUCUUGAGUUCGGGAGAGGUGAGUGGAACUGCGAGUGUAGAGGUGAAAUUCGUAGAUAUUCGCAAGAACACCAGUGGCGAAGGCGGCUCACUGGCCCGAUACUGACGCUGAGGCACGAAAGCGUGGGGAGCAAACAGG
rnacentral:rRNA from 1 species